rnacentral:misc_RNA from 1 species
GAUGAAGAACGUAGCGAAAUGCGAUAAGUAAUGUGAAUUGCAGAAUUCAGUGAAUCAUCGAAUCUUUGAACGCACAUUGCGCCCGCCAGUAUUCUGGCGGGCAUGCCUGUUCGAGCGUCAUUUCAACCAUCAAGCCCCAGGCUUGUGUUGGGGACCUGCGGCUGCCGCAGGCCCUGAAAACCAGUGGCGGGCUCGCUGUCACACCGGGCGUAGUAGAUUUUAUCUCGCUCAGGGCGUGCUGCGGGUUCCGGCCGUUAAAAAGCCUUUUUUACCCAAGGUUGACCUCGGAUCAGGUAGGAAGACCCGCUGAACUUAAGCAUAUCAAUAAUCGGAGGA